rnacentral:tRNA from 1 species
AAGGGUGUAGCUCAGUGGUAGAGCGCAUGCUUAGCAUGCACGAGGUCCUGGGUUCAGUCCCUAGUACCUCCA